rnacentral:misc_RNA from 1 species
UAUCUGGAUUGGGACAGUAAAUUGACCAAGAUUUUGACAGAAUUUGGACAGAGUUUCUUCAUGAAAAAUGGGCAUUUUGUCCUAGGUUUCAUCUCCAAUUGGCCUUACACCAAUUGGAACAACAAAAUUUCAGUUCUAGCCAUGUGAAUGAGCAAGGGUCAAGAUGUCCAGAUUUGGACAUUACCACUUUCACACUUCAAUUCAAUUCCAUGCAUUCAAUCACACUUAUAAGCACACCAAUUAACCAGUUUAAGCAUCAAUAAUGUCAAUUGGUCAAUAAUUCAUCAAAACCCUAAUUUUCAUAAACCCUAACUAUAUAAUCCACCAUCCCAUAAAAUCCCAUGCAAGCUCAUCAUGCAAUUCAUGUUUACAUGUCAAUCCACUCUAGUAAACAUGUUUACUUCCAUCAACACAUCAAAAUCUCUCUCUCCCUUAGGGUGGCCGAAUUUUAUGUUCAACCCUCCAUGCAUUUUUUUCAACAUAUUCUUUAUAAUUUCCACACAUCUCAAUUGAAAUUUAAGUAAUAUUCAAUAAUUUAGAACUAAUUUGCACAUACCUCAAAUAUGAGAUUUCCAAGCUAGCCAAUUCUUCAUUUUUUUUUCUCUUCUUUUUGCUACCAAUCUCUUAAUCAAGGUCUCUAAUCAAGUUUUUGUGUUGAGACUUAGGGGAAAUAUGAUGAGAAAAUGAGGAAUUGAAGCUUGAAAAGGAAAAAAAAAUGGUGGAAGAGAGUUUAGGAAUGGUGGCCGGCCAAAGAAGGUUAAAGAAGACAAUUUUUUUUGUCUUUAAUUCCACUUUUGUCUCUUACAUAGAGAUAAUUAUCCACAAUUAUUUUUAAAUAUUAAAAAUUAUAACUUUAAUUACAUCAUGAUGAUUUCAUAAUUCCUAUUUAAAUUUGUAUUUCUUUUCUUUUAUUCUUUCUACUACACAUCUCUUCAUUUUUAAUUAUUUUUCAAUAUUUUAAUUUUCUAUAUUUUAAUGGAUCUUUAGACCAAGAGUCACCCCUAUGGGUGAAUUGACCAUUUUGCCCUUUAUCGGUCUAAUCCAUUUUUCCAAUAGCAUUAGGUUACUUCCUGAACUCUAAUUCAAUUUUUCAAACUAGUUCUCUAUUCUUUUCUGUGAUUUUCACAUUAUCAUUAACUUCACAAUUAUCCCUAGGCCUGGGUUGUCAUAAGGUCCCACACGAAAUUAGGGUAGCGACU